AUCCAGCUGAAGAGUCCCAAAUAGGACGAAACCUGAUUCCUGGAU
rfam:Schistosoma mansoni strain Puerto Rico chromosome 5, complete genome